UCUGGAAUAAAAAAAGACCCGGAAUAGCCACAGCAAUCCUGAGAAAGAAGAACAAAGUUGGAGGAAUCACAAUACCAGAGAGUAGCUCUACUUUCUGCCCAGUUUCUCAAGAGAAAUCUUAUCAUUGUUAGCUCCUCCCUCUCUCUGACUCUUUGUAGGACAUUGAGUCUCUGUCAGAACUACUCAACUCUGAAGUUGUAGAGAAAAAAAAUUACCUUAGACAAUAUAUAAAUGAAUGGGCAUGACUGUAUUCUAAUAAGACUUCAUUCAUAAAAACAGAUGGUGAGCCAGAUUUGGCCCAUUGGGUUAGUUUGCUGACCUCUGGUCUAAAGAGUUCAUUUUCACCUUUCCAUAGUGCUUGACAUCAAGCUUCUCAAUAAAAGUUUGUUGGGUGAAUAAGUGAAUGGUAUAAGAACAAAUUAUGAUGGACCUGUUUACUGGUUUUCUUCUGUGGCCAUAUCUCCUUGGCCACUACAUGCUCCACAUUCAUUCAAUGUAGUCAGUGACCCCUUUCCACCAGUGGGGUGGUUUUCAUCUGCUGUGCUCAUCUUAAUAUUUGUGUUGAGGAAAUAUCCUAUGUGAAGUUUUGGUUCCUUUGGUGGAAGGGUCAAGUUUUAAAUCCUUUGUCACUAUUCUCCAACCAUCUCUCACAGCACAGACCUUUGGGUUUUUUUUUUUUCUAGGUAUGAGUUAAAUUUUGGCUUAUUCAGAUAAGUCAGAUUAUUAAUACAAUUUAUUAUAGACUUUGGUCAUUUUUUGUGUGUAGAUGUAUUUAUUCUUUUGUUUCAUAUACAUUUAUUUAAACCUUCCUUAAAAUCUUAUUGGGGCAGGUAGAAUAUUAGGUAUAAAAAUCCUCAAUUAAAUCAAUGCACAAAGCACUUAAUAAUAUAUACAAGGCACAGGAGAAGUUUAACAUGCAGUGGGGACAAAGAUAACUCAGAUAAGAUAUUGUCACAAAGAGGCUUAUAAGCACAAAGGAGAUAAGAGGUGAAUAAAUAAUUUCAAUACAAUGUAGAGAGUGCUUUGAGGAAAGACUUAGCAACAAACUCUAGGAAUUUCACAGAAGUAACAUUUAUCUUCCACCAAAAAGAUCAAAAACACUCUAUGAGAGAAGUAUUGUACCUGGAUAUGGAAAAGUGGGUAUUUGGAAUUUUUAUAUGGCACUAAAAAGCCCUUGAGACAGAAGAAAGUAUAGGCAUACUCAGCAGUUACUAGAAAGCAAGUUUUAAUAAAACUACGUCCAUGGACUUGCUGAUAAAAGUGCAGCCAAAUCCCUUCUAGAAGGUGCCAAGUCCAUUCUGGUCUGGAAUGCAUUGAUAAUUGGGACAUUAUGCUUAGAGACUGCAAACUGACAUUCUGUCGUCAUCCCUCUUGGAAUAGAAACCCUGAUCCUUUAAAAUAAUUAGCAUUAAUUUGGUGCAUGUGUGCAAAAAUAAAUCACAAGUGUCCAAAACCAGAAAUGUUAAGUUCAAUGGUUAUGUUCUCAUUAGCUCCGCCUAUGUAAACAAAAUUAGAAGCAAUUAACAUUUAAAAAUAGAAAAGACAAGGAGAGUUCACAGCUCCCAGUGGAAAAUUAUUAUUUAUAUAAAUGCCCACAAAGCUGACUUCCUCUCACCCUUCCCGAUGUCAAUCAUGUUAUUUCUAUGGAUAAAGAAUCAGUUUUCUUUCCUGAGGGUUAGGAGGGAGGAUUGUGAUUCUAUGCAUGUUGUCCUGGUUGAAAUUGGAAGUGUGUAUGUCCUCUAGCAAAGAAAUAAGUAGGUCUCCAUCACCUCUACCCUACCUCUAUAUUGUACCUCACCCAUUCUCUGUAUAGGCAAGAAGUGAAUUUGCUAUGGCUCAAGACUGUCAGCAGAAACCCACUUCCAUGAAACUAUGCUGGUGUUUGCCAAUGGGACACCUGCCUGUUGCAGAAAGCCUCAAUGUCCCACCUGGAAGAAGGGUGACAGAUCUCAUGAACUCACCAAGACACACUUUGAAGUGGCCCUGAUGUGCUCUGUAGGAUAUGGGCUAUCUCUGUGAAGGAUGGAGCCUUACUGCGGACAACAGUACCCAUCUGAUAAAGUUACAGAAGGCAUCUCGGAUUCACAACAACCCCCACCAUCCCCCACUGAAUAGCAUGUCGUCUGGCAACAGGAGGCGUUUGAUUAUAUUUGGAUGGCAUGCCUGCAUCAACUCCAGUUGUCCCUGAAUUGGAACUGAUGGGCCUCAUGUGCUUCAUCCAACAGUUUGCCUUCACCCACUCCCCACUCUGAAAUGAACCUUUCUCUGAGAAAACAAGAAAUCUACGUGCCAUCCUGGGUGAGAGAUUAACAGGAGCUGCAUCCCAGCAUUGCAUCCCAGACAUGGCAGGCAAGAGCACACUCAGAGGGGUUUCCAACAGCAAGCCAUGCUUCAAGCUUCUCUGGAGAGACUCCCCGAACCAGAGGACACAAAUGUUCUCCCCAGAGUACGAUAGCCCCUCAUCUUAGUUCACAGACAUGGAGUUCUUACUGUGUGCAGUAGAGUGCCCCAAGCUACUGUUUCCUGUAGCAAGUCUCUAUAACCGCCCUCUCCCCAUUUUGAUGUAUGUGCUCUGUUAGUCACUGCUGCAGGCAGAAUAGUGACUCCCCAAGGAUGUCCACAUGCUAAUCCUCAGAACCUGUGAAUAUAUUAUAUCCUGUGGGGAGAGGGGAGUUUAGAUUGCAGAUGGAAUUAAACUGGCUAAUCAACUGACCUUAAAAAAAAAUAGAGAUUAGCCAUCUAGGUUACCCUGUGGCCCCAGUGUAAUCACAAAUGUCUGAAAUAGAAAAAAGAGAAGCAGAAGAGUCAGAACCAGAGUGGUGGCAUUGUGAGAAACGUGAUCUGCCAUUGUUGGCUUUGAAGAUGGAGGAAGAGGGCAUGAACCAAGGAAUGUGGGCAGUCUCUACAAUCUGGAAAAGGCAUGAAAACAGAUCUUUCCUAGAGAUUCCUUGGUUUUAGGCCAAUAGGACACAUUUGAACUCUAACCUCGAGAACAAGCUGGUUUGGCUCAGUUCAUGGAGCAUCAACCUGUGGACUGAAGGGUCCCGGGUUUGAUUCCAGUCAAGGGAAUGUAUCUCGGUUGCAGGCUCAAUCCCUAGCCCUGGUCAGGGAGCGGGCAGGAGGCAACCAAUCGAUGUGUCUCUCUCAUAUUGAUGUUUCUAUGUACUUUGCCUUCCACACUCUCUCUCUGUAAAAAACAAAACAAGACAGACACUGUGGACUUGCCAUAUGCCAGGCCUGGUACCAGGGACUGAGGGAACAUUCCCAUGGUAUGUGGUUUGUACCUUGUACCUAUCCAUCAUCAUCAGGGUCCAACCAGGGAAAUGGAAGCCACUCUAAGUGUCACAGGAAAUCUAAUUCAGGUUAUUGGCCACACAGGUGAUUGAAAUUGGGAAGCCAGUCCAACCAUUAGCAAUAGCAAGGGUUGCUACCAGGCUGAACUAGAGGGACAAAGACAGAAGGUCACCAAGUGGAACCUAGUCCAUGAAGGGCCUGUAUAGUAGGAGCUGGAGCCAUGAAGGGACAGAGCCCUGCUGUAGAAGCUGCCUGAGGAAGAAAGGGAAAGAGAGAGAGAGAGGUACCCUCCUUCUCCCUUUCUCUUACCUUCCAAUCUUCUGCCAGUGCCUCCCGUUGGCUGUUACCAGCUGGAAGACAGCUGACAUAGGAUCUUGGGAUACACAGGGUCAGCCCUCCUACAGUACAGAACAGAACAGAGCUGGGGAAAAGCAGUGAAUUGAUUUGAGGAAGUGUGAGCCGAAGAUCUGCAGAUAUCUCCUUUCUAUAUCAAUCACCAUGAAUCUUGAAACUUGUUUACCCAAUUGUUUUUUACCAUGGCUUUGAAGCCCUUUCCCAACUUCUCUGGCCUUAUUUAUAACGUUCUCCCCAUUAUUCACAGAACCCCCACCACCGUGGCCUUUGCUCUGUUCUCACCUUGACAGGCAAGUCCCAUCUUGGGGCACUUGUAUUUUUACUGGACUCUCCAUCCCUUGCCUCUCCCGUCACUGAUCACUUUUUUUUUUCAUUCCAGUCUCAGAUCCACUGUCAUUUGCUCAGAUAACCCUAUCUACCAUCUAAAAUAGGCCCUCUCACCCAGAGCCACCAUCACAUUCCCCUGUUUUAUUUUCUUCAGAGAACCUGCUAUUAGCUGAAAUUAUCUUCAUUGUAUGUUUGUUUAUCAUAACCUUCCUAGAACUCUAAGCUCCUUGAAGGUAGGGAUCCUGUCUUGUUACUUGUUAUAUUAUUGUAAAGUUGGUUAGAUGUCCACCAAAAUCUGUUUCUUCUUCUUGGAAACACAAUAAGGCUCAUUCCAUAUUCCUUUCUAGUUGGGUGUAACAGAGCUUUGCCUAAUGGCACACGAGUGGAAAUCUCUAGUGUUGCUUCCAGGCCUGGUUGUGAACACCUCUCAUGCACACUGCUGCAUGCUUUCUUCUUCCUGCCAGAUGAUGACAAGGCCCUCAGGGAUGAUAGAGGCACAAGACAAAAGGAACCUAGGCUCUUGAAUGACUAGAUGAAGGAGAGUUGCCCCAGCAACCUACAUACCUAUCUUGCACUGUUAUGUAAUGAAAAAUAAAUAUGUUUUGUGUUGAGUCAUGAUAUUAGCCUACCCUAACUGAAACAAUUCUCAGCCAAGAAUUCCCAAUGCCUUGUCCAUAAUUGGCCCUCAAUAGUUAUUGAAUGAUUAAAUAUUAAGCUCUCAGUAAUUAUGCAUUCAAUGAUGGGAUAUUUGUUUCUUAUCCUCAUUCUCCUACUAAGCUCCCUAAGGAAAGGGUUAUAUUAAUCUCUGUGCUCUUAUUGCCUUCCAUUGACCCUAAACCUUUGUAGAUUCAGUGGGUGUGUUUCAUACUGAGUUUCCAGGCAGCAUGAGGGAGACCGUGAUUGACAAAGCAUGGUCUAGAAGCGUGGGUCUAAGGAGGAGUUCGACAUUGCUGUAAGUAGCAAUGUUUGUGCAACAAUUUAGAGUUUACACAGGGCUCUUCACCUGAUCCUUAUAAAAACUCUGAAAGGAAAUUACUAUUAUGAUUCCCAUUUUACAGAUGAUGAAUCUGAGUUCAUAGAAGUUAUUUUGCUCAAGAUCUUUGUCAAGCAACAAAGCUGGAAUUAAUAAAUUGUUUGAAAGUAUUUAUGGAGUGCCUAUGCUGCCUUAGCUGCUGGCUCAAGCUGCUGCACCUAGUAGGGAACCCAAAGUUCUGAAGAAACUGAAGAAACUAGAAUCAUCUUCCAGAAGAUAAAAGGGAGGCGCCACUUCUAGCCAAGGUCUGAUAAUGACUGAGAGAAUUGCCUGUGUCAUGCAGCCGAGUGUCUUAGUGCAAGUUUCUGGCUGGUCUGCCAGACUUGCCCAGAGGCAUAGUCACCCCAGCAGUUCUCCCACUGGCCCAGGCUAACGGCCUUGGCGUUCUCAGUCUGCCCUUUUCCAUACAUUCUUUCCUCCUUCCCGUGCCAAGAUUUCAGUAGAUGAUUUAGAGUGGGUUCCAGGCCAUUUCGCUCAGUCAGAGAUUUGGGUGAAAGUUUCCUCCCACCCAUCCCAGGCCUCAGAUAACCCAUUGGUGUGUGACAGACUGUGUGAAGGAGGUGGAAGAAAGGCCAUGGAGAUUUCCAGACCCGGGAUUGGAGCAAAAGUUUCUGCAGAUGAGGAAAGUGAGGCUCUGAGAAAAUAUAUCCUCCUCCAAUUCUCCCCUGAUAAUAGCCAACUUGAAAAGAAGCCCAGCAUAAAUGUGCCCCAGAAACAACGUUUGUCAAUGUAUUGGUUUAUAUUCUUCCAUGUCUCUUUUUUAAAAAAUGUUAUUAUAUGGCAUGUUCUAUUUAAUAAAACUUUUUUGGUAAUACUAAA